AUUGAACGCUGGCGGCAUGCCUUACACAUGCAAGUCGAACGGCAGCACGGGGGCAACCCUGGUGGCGAGUGGCGAACGGGUGAGUAACGCAUCGGAAUGUACCCAGUAGUGGGGGAUAACUAGUCGAAAGACUAGCUAAUACCGCAUACGCACUGAGGUGGAAAGCGGGGGAUCGCAAGACCUCGCGCUAUUGGAGCAGCCGAUGUCCGAUUAGGUAGUUGGUGGGGUAAAGGCCUACCAAGCCUGCGAUCGGUAACUGGUCUGAGAGGACGACCAGUCACACUGGGACUGAGACACGGCCCAGACUCCUACGGGAGGCAGCAGUGGGGAAUUUUGGACAAUGGGCGCAAGCCUGAUCCAGCAAUGCCGCGUGUGUGAAGAAGGCCUUCGGGUUGUAAAGCACUUUUGGCGGGAGCGAAACGGCGUUUGCUAAUACCAGACGCUAAUGACGGUACCCGCAGAAUAAGCACCGGCUAACUACGUGCCAGCAGCCCGG
rnacentral:rRNA from 1 species